rnacentral:rRNA from 1 species
ACGUAGGAGGCAAGCUUUAUCCGGAUUUAUUGGGCGUAAAGGGUGCUCAGUCGGUUGAUUAAGUUUGUGGUGAAAGUUCGGGGCUCAACUCCGGAUUGCCAUGAAAACUGGUUGGCUAGAGUGCAGAAGAGGGUAGUGGAAUUCCAUGUGUAGCGGUAAAAUGCGUAGAUAUAUGGAGGAACACCAGUGGCGAAGGAGGCUACCUGGUCUGUUACUGACGAUCAAGCACGAAAGCGUGGGGAGCAAAUAG